AGGAGAGUUUGAUCCUGGCUCAGGAUGAACGCUGGCGGCGUGCCUAACACAUGCAAGUCGAACGAAGCACUUUGGAUGGAGAUUCGUCAAAAUCUGAUUUGACUUAGUGGCGGACGGGUGAGUAAUGUGUGAGCAACCUGCCUUUCAGAGGGGGACAACAGUUGGAAACGGCUGCUAAUACCGCAUAAUGUAUAUUGAGGGCAUCCUUGGUAUACCAAAGGAGCAAUCCGCUGAAAGAUGGGCUCACAUCUGAUUAGCUAGUUGGUGGGGUAACGGCCUACCAAGGCUGCGAUCAGUAGCCGGACUGAGAGGUUGAACGGCCACAUUGGGACUGAGAUACGGCCCAGACUCCUACGGGAGGCAGCAGUGGGGAAUAUUGGGCAAUGGGCGAAAGCCUGACCCAGCAACGCCGCGUGAAGGAAGAAGGUCUUCGGAUUGUAAACUUCUUUUAUGAGGGACGAAGGACGUGACGGUACCUCAUGAAUAAGCCACGGCUAACUACGUGCCAGCAGCCGCGGUAAUACGUAGGUGGCGAGCGUUAUCCGGAUUUACUGGGUGUAAAGGGCGCGUAGGCGGGGAUGCAAGUCAGAUGUGAAAUCCAUGGGCUCAACCCAUGAACUGCAUUUGAAACUGUAUUUCUUGAGUGCUGGAGAGGUAGACGGAAUUCCUUGUGUAGCGGUGAAAUGCGUAGAUAUAAGGAAGAACACCAGUGGCGAAGGCGGUCUACUGGACAGUAACUGACGCUGAGGCGCGAAAGCGUGGGGAGCAAACAGGAUUAGAUACCCUGGUAGUCCCCU
rnacentral:rRNA from 1 species